GGGGGGAAAGAUUUAUCACUGAAGGAUGGGUCCGCGUACGAUUAGCUUGUUGGUGGGGUAAAGGCCUACCAAGGCUCCGAUCGUUAGCUGGUCUGAGAGGAUGAUCAGCCACACUGGAACUGAGACACGGUCCAGACUCCUACGGGAGGCAGCAGUAGGGAAUAUUGCGCAAUGGGCGAAAGCCUGACGCAGCGACGCCGCAUGUGUGAUGAAGGCUCUAGGGUCGUAAAGCACUGUCGUGAGGGAAUAAAAAAAUGAAGGUACCUCACAAGAAAGGACCGGCUAACUUCGUGCCAGCAGCCGCGGUAAUACGAGGGGUCCUAGCGUUGUUCGGAAUUACUGGGCGUAAAGCGGGUGUAGGCGGAAUGGCAAGUCAGAAGUGAAAGCCCUGGGCUCAACCUAGGAUGUGCUUUUGAUACUGCUGUUCUUGAGUGUGGGAGAGGAUAGUAGAAUUCCUGGUGUAGUGGUGAAAUACGUAGAUAUCAGGAGGAAUACCGGUGGCGAAGGCGGCUAUCUGGCCCAACACUGACGCUCAGACCCGAAAGCGUGGGUAGCNAACAGGAUUAGAUACCCUGGUAGUCCACGCCGUAAACGAUGGAUACUUGGUGUUGGAGGUANUGACCCCUUCAGUGCCNAAGCUAACGCGUUAAGUAUCCCGCCUGGGGAGUANGGUCGCAAGAUUAAAACUCAAAGANUUGACGGGGGCCCGCACGAGCGGNGGANCAUGUGGUUUAANUNCGAUGCAACGCNAAAA
rnacentral:rRNA from 1 species